UCAUAUAAAUAGGCUAUCACCGGUUCCCGUGCGAUCAUCGAAGUUAAGCAACGUCGAGCUUGGUCAGUACCUGGCGGGUGACCGCUAGGGAAUAACAGGCGCUGUAAG